UACGUAGGGUGCGAGCGUUAAUCGGAAUUACUGGGCGUAAAGCGUGCGCAGGCGGUUUUGUAAGCCAGAUGUGAAAUCCCCGGGCUUAACCUGGAAAUGGCAUUUGGGACUGCAAGGCUGGAGUGCGGCAGAGGAGACUGGAAUUCCUGGUGUAGCAGUGAAAUGCGUAGAUAUCAGGAGGAAUACCGAUGGCGAAGGCAGGUCUCUGGGCUGACACUGACGCUCAUGCACGAAAGCGUGGGGAGCAAACAGG
rnacentral:rRNA from 1 species